CAUCCUAACAACACAAAGUCUCUGGUUUGUCCUUGACAUGUGUUUCUGGAGCUUUCACUUUCUUUCAACACAAUAUAUUCCCUCUUAAUUUUAUUUCUAUUCAAUCAAUAUAUAUGGUGUCUAAACCCUCAAGUCCCUUCCUCCAUCAACUCUUUCUGGUGCAGUUUUCUGUUAGUUUCCCGAGAAAAUGAACGAUCCCAAGUAUUCUUAUCCCUACCCUCCUCCAGGUGCUUAUCAAGGUCCUCCUCCUCCAGUGAUGGCUCCUCCUCAGUAUUAUCCAGCUCCUCCACCACAACCACAGAGACAAGUAGGGUUUCUUGAGGGAUGCCUUGCAGCUUUAUGUUGCUGUUGUUUGUUGGAUGAGUGUUGCUGUGAUCCAUCAGUUGUGUUUGUGACCUAAUUUCAUUUGCUGCAGAAGAAAGUUUCAUCUCAACUUUUAUUUUGUUAUAUUCUGUUAUCAGAAAUCCAUUGAUGCUUAGCUUUUUUCUUCUGUUACUUAUGAAAUUGUCCUCUCAAUUUAUUUAUCAGAACAGACAUUUUGUAUUUAUUUAUAUAAAUAAACUAUAGAGAAUGGAGUGAAA